UGUUAGGCAUUGAUCGCUUCUAUCGUUGAUUGAUUAUAAAGUAGCCACUGAAAUAAUUAUGCGUUUUACUUCGUUUGUUUACCCAAACACAACAAACUGGCGACGAGGAUAAAACUUUGUGGAUUAUAUUUCGAGAAUGUUAUCCGUUUAAUAAGAUUGUGCGUGAAAUUUUGGAUAUAAACACAAAAUGGCAACGGGCCUGAUUGGGAACAUUAACGCAUAUGACAGCAAUGUCGAAACAUGGACAUCCUACCAGGAACGACUUGAACAGUACUUAAUGGUCAAUGACAUCGAUAAUGAACGAAAAGUGGCAAAACUUUUAACACUCCCGUAUGAGGAACUUUGACAGCUUUUACAAACUCAUUUGUGCCCGAAACCGUUAAUAAUCGCGGAACGAUUCCGAUUUCACAAGAGGAAACAAGCAGUGGGCGAAAGUGUGAGUUGUUACGUAACUUCACUUCAGAAGUUGGCAGAAUUCUGUGAGUUCAGAUCGAACUUGAACGAUUCUUUAAGGGACAGGUUCGUUUGUGGACUUAAAGAUGCAGGAACACAGCGAAGAUUAUUGUCAAUCGCUGAUUUGACACUGCAAAAUGCCAUAGAAAUAGCGCUUGCCAUGGAAGCUGCACAUAAGGACGCCGCCGAUGUGCCUGUCAAUCGAGUUGGACAUUCAACAAAACCCAAGAAAUGGAAGCAUCACAAACAUGCCAAAGAGAGCACCAAGUGCACCCAUUGUGGGAAAACUAACCACCCUCCGAUAAAUGCAGACUGAAAGAUGCAGUUUGUCAUCACUGUAAAGCAAAGGGACAUAUAAAAUAAAGGCUAUAUGUAGGAAGCUUAAGUCGGUGCAGUGUAUGGAGGAAAACGUUUCAGUGAUCAACACUGUAAACAAAGGAGACAACGGGAAAUUCAUCGUUAAGCCGAAGAUUAACGAUGUCGAGGUACCCAUGGAGCUUGAUACAGGAUCAGCAGUUACCCUCAUAUCAAACAAGGAUAUCCGAAACGGAUUCGGAAAUAUGAAGCUCGAUCCUGCUUUUUCCAUACUUAAGACAUAUUCAGGCGAUGUCAUAGAGCAACAAGGGACAGUUAUGGUGCAUGUCAGUUAUAAUGGACAAUCGCGAACAAUGCGACUUUGCGUCGUAAAAGGUGAUGGGCCUGCACUGUUCGGAAGGGACUGGCUGAGCCACAUUAAACUGGACUGGGACACACUUUUUAACGUGAACUCUGUGACAACGGAAGGCCUGAAGAUAAUGCCGCUACGCCACGCCUACUUGUAAAUGAAGCGUAGCAACGCCCCGCCCCAUGUUCUUCAUAACUGCAUGUUGACCUCUGAUCUGAUUUCUGACGUGCGGGUUUGACGUGCCGAAUCCUUAGCGGCAGUGAAAUUUUCAUCCACCCAUCUGUGAAAAAUUUACAUUAUUCGAUAUAUUUUCUACAUUUCUGUACAUUUGUGAAUAGUUGGGAUUGUAUGUACCAUAGUGAUUAUGCUAGUAUUUGCUAUUGAGAACACAACGAACAAUCCAAACAAUGAUUAUGGAUCGCCGCACUACUUUUAUGUGCAGUUUUAACAAUGGUGAAAGCGAUCAGGGAUGAUUUUGGAUCGCCGCACUACUUUUAUGUGCAGUUAUAUAAUGUGAAAGCGAUCAGGGAUGAUUUUGGAUCGCCGCACUACUUUUAUGUGCAGUUAUAAAAAUGUGAAAGCGAUCAGGGAUGCAACUUUGUGUGAUUGUUUUUAUAUUUGUAUAUUUUUUAAUAAAUGGAAAGUAUUCAAGUUUAAAAGUU